rnacentral:miRNA from 1 species
CUGCAGUUGUUCACCUGGCUCUGGUCAAUGCCAGCAUGGAGAAGUGACCCAUGAUUAUGUUACAGGAGAAGUGUUUGGGGGAAGUCGGGAUGU